rnacentral:lncRNA from 1 species
GUUAAAAAGCAAUAGCAGUAAUUCUCAGUGAAAAUAUGUUUUCAUUUUCUGGAGUUUCAAAAUUCAAAAAAAGUUAGGAAAAAUUAUAUUCAAAAAACUGAGGAAUCAAAAUCCUCUUAUGAACAUCAGUAGCAGUAUCAUAAAGAACUAUCAAGAAAUUAAAAAGAUAAAACAGCAUGCUUUUAUACAAUAUUAAGAGCCAAUGAUUACUAUCAUUUCUACAGAACAGUCAAUAUAAUUUUUCUCUAAAUUAUGUGUAAAUUAAGAAAGUAUAUGAAAUACAGCUAACUUGGGGGUAGCCAAAAAGGAAAUAAUUCAUCUUCUGGGGUUACCAAUGUCAUGAAAACGUCAACUAAUUUUAAUCUACUUUUGUUUACAAAAGCUUUCAACACAGGUCAUCUCAUUUAGCCUCCCAAAUUACCUAGUGUAAAAUAUAUUUUUCUUUUACUGAUGAAGAAGCUAACUUAUCCAAAAGAAUACAAUUCGCGGUAAGGACUCCAAGGUCCCCACUAUCCUAAAUUGCCAAUCCAAAGGCUGUUUUUGCUUAUCACAAUGCCUCUUUCUAAUAAUAACAUACUAAUGAUUAACUCUGACUUUAUACAACUCUAUCCAGGGUACACUGUAAGAAAUGUUAAGUCAGGGAUAGGCUCCUG